GCACGCUGAUAUGUAGGUGAAGUCCCUCGCGGAUGGAGCUGAAAUCAGUCGAAGAUACCAGCUGGCUGCAACUGUUUAUUAAAAACACAGCACUGUGCAAACACGAAAGUGGACGUAUACGGUGUGACGCCUGCCCGGUGCCGGAAGGUUAAUUGAUGGGGUUAGCGGCAACGCGAAGCUCUUGAUCGAAGCCCCGGUAAACGGCGGCCG
rnacentral:rRNA from 1 species